AGCGAACGCUGGCGGCGUGCCUAACACAUGCAAGUCGAACGUGAAAGGGAGCAAUCCCAAGUAAAGUGGCGUACGGGUGAGUAACACGUAGGUAAUCUACCCCAGAAUCUGGAAUAACCGGCCGAAAGGCUGGCUAAUACUGGAUAGAGCGACGGAAUCCGUAAUUGGGUUUUUCGGGAAAGGGAGCCUGUAAAAAGGCCUUCGUUCUGGGAUGAGCCUGCGUCCCAUCAGCUAGUUGGUGAGGUAAAAGCUUACCAAGGCAAUGACGGGUAGCUGGUCUGAGAGGACGAUCAGCCACACUGGAACUGAAACACGGUCCAGACUCCUACGGGAGGCAGCAGUGGGGAAUCUUGCGCAAUGGACGAAAGUCUGACGCAGCAACGCCGCGUGAGUGAAGAAGGCCGUCGGGUUGUAAAGCUCUGUCGAGUGGGACGAAAAUGCUUGGAGUUCACAGCUCCAGGAACUGACGGUACCACUAAAGGAAGCACCGGCUAACUCCGUG
rnacentral:rRNA from 1 species